rnacentral:rRNA from 1 species
AUGAAAUUUUUUGGCAUCCAAGAUGCUCGGGUGUGCAAAAUUUUGUUGUGUUUGGACAUUGUAGGAGCUCGUGGGAAAAAAAUAUAUGGCUCGGAAAAAACUUCAAAAAAUAAGCAAUUUUGUUGUUUCGCAAGAGCUCCACGCAUGUCAUUUGAUAACAAAAUUUUGCACACACCUUGCGCAACCGAUCAUCUUGGAUGCCAAAAAAUUUCAUAUUUUUUUUAUUUUUCUUGCUAUUUUUUUGAAUUUACUAUUCACGGGCGUACGAAUUUACUGUUUUUCCUUUGCCAUGAGCUCGUAGAGUGUCCAAACAUCACGAAAAUCUGCACGCACGUUGGGCACCUAAGUUUCUUUGAUCCCUCAAAAUUUCAGAUUUUUAUGAUUUUUUUGCUAUUUUUUUCGAGACGGUCAAAGCCCUUUGACCAGAUGGUAACGACGCUGAAGGGCAUUUCUAUAAGGACACCUAACGGCAGAGGGGCAAAUUUGAGCACCGUUUGA